ACCACUCCGAAACUCCAAUGCUGGAUGUCAAUGAUCUCCACAAAAUCCAUUCAAUUGAUUGCUGUAGCACAGCAGAUGCAGGUCCCAAAAAUGAGGGAUUUCGUUCUGCGCUUCCCUUUACGGAUCGGCGAUGGUGGUGGCCUCGAUUUCUCUGAGUCGCUUCUUCCUAACUUCACCACUCGUUUCUCCAUUGGAUUUGGGAAGCUAAUCUCCUGCAGAUUUGGUGGGCCGAUUAAUCAAGAUUUCUUAAGCUUUAAUCUUCGUGGUUGAUGCAAGGUGGCUGAACUCCAUUAUUUGGGAGGCCGAGUUGAUUAUAUCUUAAUUCUUAGUAAUUUGGUUUUAUUUGCUGAGUCAUCCCCAACACCUUGAUGCCAACAAUCCCAAGUAUGUAUGUUAGAUUCCACUAUUCUUUUUUUACUCCAAGAGAAAAAAGAGAGAGAGACCCCCAAAAUUAUCUACUCUAUUUCUUUUAUUUUCAUUCAAAUACCUUUUGUUUCCCCUUCUUUUCCCUACCUUAUCUAAGAUAAAUAUGAUUUAAAAUUUAAAAUUUUACUUUCUUUAUCCAUUCAAUGUC